GGUCUAGUGGCGCACGGGUGCGUAACGCGUGGGAAUCUGCCCUUGGGUUCGGAAUAACUCAGAGAAAUUUGAGCUAAUACCGGAUGAUGACGUAAGUCCAAAGAUUUAUCGCCCAAGGAUGAGCCCGCGUAAGAUUAGGUAGUUGGUGGGGUAAAAGCCUACCAAGCCGACGAUCUUUAGCUGGUCUGAGAGGAUGAUCAGCCACACUGGGACUGAGACACGGCCCAGACUCCUACGGGAGGCAGCAGUGGGGAAUAUUGGACAAUGGGCGAAAGCCUGAUCCAGCAAUGCCGCGUGAGUGAUGAAGGCCCUAGGGUUGUAAAGCUCUUUUACCCGGGAUGAUAAUGACAGUACCGGGAGAAUAAGCCCCGGCUAACUCCGUGCCAGCAGCCGCGGUAAU
rnacentral:rRNA from 1 species